CCCGGGCCUUGUACACACCGCCCGUCAAGUCAUGAAAGUCGGUAACACCCGAAGCCGGUGGCCCAACCCUUGUGGAGGGAGCUGUCGAAGGUGGGACUGGCGAUUAGGACU
rnacentral:rRNA from 1 species